rnacentral:rRNA from 1 species
CCUACGGGAGGCAGCAGUGGGGAAUAUUGCACAAUGGGGGAAACCCUGAUGCAGCCAUGCCGCGUGUGUGAAGAAGGCCUUCGGGUUGUAAAGCACUUUCAGUUGUGAGGAAAGUUUAGUAGUUAAUACCUGCUAGAUGUGACGUUAGCAACAGAAGAAGCACCGGCUAACUCCGUGCCAGCAGCCGCGGUAAUACGGAGGGUGCGAGCGUUAAUCGGAAUUACUGGGCGUAAAGCGCACGCAGGCGGUCUGUUAAGCUAGAUGUGAAAGCCCCGCGCUCAACGUGGGAGGGUCAUUUAGAACUGGCAGAUUAGAGUCUUGGAGAGGGGAGUGGAAUUCCAGGUGUAGCGGUGAAAUGUGUAGAGAUUUGGAGGAACAUCAAUGGCGAAGGCAACUCCCUGGCCAAAGACUGACGCUCAUGUGCGAAAGUGUGGGUAGCGAACAGGAUUAGAUACCCUGGUAGUCCACACCGUAAACGCUGUAUACUAGCUGUUUGUGGAUUUAAUCCGUGAGUAGCG